AUUGAACGCUGGCGGCAGGCCUAACACAUGCAAGUCGAACGAGUGGCGGACGGGUGAGUAAUGUCUGGGAAACUGCCCGAUGGAGGGGGAUAACUACUGGAAACGGUAGCUAAUACCGCAUACCAUCGGAUGUGCCUAGAUGGGAUUAGCUAGUAGGUGGGGUAACGGCUCACCUAGGCGACGAUCCCUAGCUGGUCUGAGAGGAUGACCAGCCACACUGGAACUGGGACACAGACCAGACUCCUACGAGAGGCAGCAGUGGGGAGUAUUGCACAAUGAGCGCAAGCCUGAUGCAGCCAUGCCGCGUGUAUGAAGAAAGCCUUCGAGUUGUAAAGUACUUUCAGCGGGGAGGCGUUACCCGCAGAAGAAGCACCGGCUAACUCCGUGCCAGCAGCCGCGGUAAUUC
rnacentral:rRNA from 1 species